CCUACGGGGGGCAGCAGUAGGGAAUAUUGCUCAAUGGGGGAAACCCUGAAGCAGCAACGCCGCGUGGAGGAUGAAGGUUUUCGGAUUGUAAACUUCUUUUGUUAGAGAAGAUAAUGACGGUAUCUAACGAAUAAGCACCGGCUAACUCCGUGCCAGCAGCCGCGGUAAUACGGAGGGUGCAAGCGUUACUCGGAAUCACUGGGCGUAAAGAGCGCGUAGGCGGGAUAGCAAGUCAGAUGUGAAAUCCUAUGGCUUAACCAUAGAACUGCAUUUGAAACUGUUAUUCUAGAGUAUGGGAGAGGUAGGUGGAAUUCUUGGUGUAGGGGUGAAAUGCGUAGAGAUCAAGAGGAAUACUCAUGGCGAAGGCAGCCUGCUAGAACAUAACUGACGCUGAUGCGCGAAAGCGUGGGGAGCAAACAGGAUUAGAUACCCGAGUAGUC
rnacentral:rRNA from 1 species